GCCUUACUCCAGCUGCCCUCAUCUUCCUCCUCGGAGGCUGACCCCAUCUCGUCGUAAGCCGAGACGACGCUGGACUCCUUUUCAAGCACACUGAACACCAGGCUCUUCCUUUUGGACAUUUACUGGAAUUGUCCAGUCGGUCCAUGCUUUUCCAGCUGGGCAGAGACGCAGCCUUGGCCUCCCUCUUUAGAGAGGAGUAAUCCUGCAGGUUACCACCUCCCGCCACAGUAGCCUCCUCCUCUGUUGUGAGCUCUGGAGCCUUUUCAGGAGAGUCGUCGCUGGUGAGGGAGUAUGCUGACCUAGACCGCUGCUGUUACACAAGAACUAAAUGGAUUCAGACCCCCUAAAAAGUGUGGAGUUGGUCUCAUAGGGAACAGACAGAACAUGAGACUGCAAAAGCAAAAGCAUCCAUCUCUAAAAUGGGUGAGAUUUAACCCGCAUGUUUGGUGUUACGGAGCAGGGUACAGCUGUGAGUGAACAUGCAUUGUGUCUCUGUGAGUGUGUGUCUGCAGAAGGCUGAUAAAGUGGUGGGCUGAGCGGUCUACAAGGAUUCUCAUGUAUUUCAAGGGACUUUGAUCUUCAACGAGUGAACGGGAGGAACAGAAUAGAGAGAAGCAGCACUGAUGCUUGGCACACACACUGCAAUGACAAUUCUGCCAGAGUCCCUUCUGACAUGUGGAGUGAAACAGGAGGAACCUCAAGAUUGUGUGUUGGAGCAAAACAUAAUCCUGUACACUUUUUUUUGUGCUAAAUAGUAAACAUCAAUUUGAAUUUUCAGUGAGGAUAUAGUGCUCUCUGAACACAAAUAUUUUAUAUUUUACCACAUUAAGCAACCAAUAUUGCUUAUUACUUUUGUGACAUUGGUAAUGUCAGAUUGGGGUUGUGAGGGGCUGUAAAAGGACACAGGUUAUUUGACUUUGGCAAAAAUCAUAAUUAAAAGACCACUGGAAAUGCUUUUAGAAUGGAUCAAAAAAUGUCUGGAUUGGAAUUUUAAGCAAUUCUUUAUGCAAAUCCUUCCACCUACUGUUCAUGAAUUACGUUGUAGUUCCUUAAAUGACCACUGGAGCACUGUGUCAAUUUCAUUCUCAGGUUGAAAAGUGAAAAAAGUCCAACUAAAUAUCAAAAAUAUAAGCAGGAGUCAGAGACUUUUCUGAUAUUAAAUUGUUCUUUCUUUCAAGGGUUGGUUUUGACUUCUUAUAAUCUCAAAUGUGUAUAUUAUCCAGGACAUAGUUCUUGAUUGGCAGGUGAGUGGAUAUCUGGGUACACAGGUGGAUUUUUAUUUUGUUUGGUCCAAUUCUCCUUUUUUGACUGAAGAAACUCUCGCCAAUGUGUUUGUUCCUUUUAAGACUUUACUACUGCCAUUCAGAACCCUACAGAUGAUCAUUAUACAUGUCCAUAUGGACACAUGCAGUGUAAAUUGGUCUGAAAAAGACCAAACAUGAACCCAAUGGCCCAUUUUGCUUUAUAGAUACAUGCCUUAGGUUAG